CGCCAGCCUGUCGGAGCCAGACCGCGUGGGGGAGGAAGGCCCUUGGGUUGUAAACCCCUUUUCUCAGGGAAGAAACCUGACGGUACCUGAGGAAAAAGCCUCGGCUAACUCCGUGCCAGCAGCCGCGGUAAUACGGAGGAGGCAAGCGUUAUCCGGAAUUACUGGGCGUAAAGCGUCCGCAGGGGGCGCAUCAAGUCUGCUGUUAAAGGUCGGAGCUAAACUCCGGUAGAGCAGUGGAAACUGGUGCGCUAGAGGGCGACAGGGGUAGAGGGAAUUCCCGGUGUAGCGGUGAAAUGCGUAGAUAUCGGGAAGAACACCAGAGGCGAAAGCGUUCUGCUGGGCCGCACCUGACCCUCAGGGACGAAAGCUAAGGGAGCG
rnacentral:rRNA from 1 species